rnacentral:rRNA from 1 species
CUCCUACGGGAGGCAGCAGUGGGGAAUAUUGCACAAUGGGCGCAAGCCUGAUGCAGCCAUGCCGCGUGUAUGAAGAAGGCCUUCGGGUUGUAAAGUACUUUCAGCAGUGAGGAAGGUGGGUAUGUUAAUAGCAUACUCAUUUGACGUUAGCUGCAGAAGAAGCACCGGCUAACUCCGUGCCAGCAGCCGCGGUAAUACGGAGGGUGCGAGCGUUAAUCGGAAUUACUGGGCGUAAAGCGCAUGCAGGUGGUUUGUUAAGUCAGAUGUGAAAGCCCGGGGCUCAACCUCGGAAUUGCAUUUGAAACUGGCAAACUAGAGUACUGUAGAGGGGGUAGAAUUUCAGGUGUAGCGGUGAAAUGCGUAGAGAUCUGAAGGAAUACCGGUGGCGAAGGCGGCCCCCUGGACAGAUACUGACACUCAGAUGCGAAAGCGUGGGGAGCAAACAGGAUUAGAUACCCUGGUAG